rnacentral:rRNA from 1 species
GAUGAACGCUGGCGGCGUGCCUAAUACAUGCAAGUCGAGCGAACAGAUGAGGAGCUUGCUCCUCUGACGUUAGCGGCGGACGGGUGAGUAACACGUGGAUAACCUACCUAUAAGACUGGGAUAACUUCGGGAAACCGGAGCUAAUACCGGAUAAUAUAUUGAACCGCAUGGUUCAAUAGUGAAAGACGGUUUUGCUGUCACUUAUAGAUGGAUCCGCGCCGCAUUAGCUAGUUGGUAAGGUAACGGCUUACCAAGGCAACGAUGCGUAGCCGACCUGAGAGGGGGAUCGGCCACACAGAAACUGAGACACGAUCCAGACUCCUACGGGAGGCAGCAGUAGGGAAUCUUCCGCAAUGGGCGAAAGCCUGACGGAGCAACGCCGCGUGAAUGAUGAAGGUCUUCGGAUCGUAAAACUCUGUUAUUGGGGAAGAACAAAUGUGUAAGUAACUAUGCACGUCUUGACGGUACCUAAUCAGAAAGCCACGGCAAACUACGU